UUUGAUCUAUUUACUAAUUAAGUAAAGCAUCUUCCAAAGAAGGGCAUAUUUAAUUUGUUAGAAAUCAAUUGGUAGUCAAGAGAAUUGAAUGGCGUCUAAUCAUUCAAUCAAAUAUCUGAAGCCAAUUAUCCUAGGAUUACUACUAAUCCUAAUGGCAUCAGAUAUUAUGGUUUCAGCAGAGUGGUGCACUUUGAGAGGUUAUGAAUGCAAAGUUGAUAGUGAUUGUUGCGAAGGAUUUGUUUGUUCGUAUAAUAUUGGAGGGAUUGACCCUCCGGCUACGUAUUACUGUUGCUCUACUCAUCUGUGGGGUUGGUGGUACGAUUGCAACCACUAGACCAUAGAGCUGAUUGGAUCGAGCAUAGGCUUGCUCGAUCAACACUGGCUCGAGGCAAAGGAUUAUCAAUCGAGCAUAGGUUGUGUUUGAUUAUAUCGCGAUCUUGCUAGCAUCUCCAUUUGAAUUUAUGUUAUAAGUGAAGUUCUUCAUGUUGUGAUUUUUUUACUUUCUUUGUAUUAUUGGCAUUAGUAUAUAUAUGCCAAUGCUUUUGUCAUGAACUCAUGAUACAUGAAUGUUGUUUGGAAUAAUAUUGGAGGUGAUUUAUUGAAA